rnacentral:rRNA from 1 species
GACGAACGCUGGCGGCGUGCUUAACACAUGCAAGUCGAACGAAGUGGCGAACGGGUGAGUAACGCGUAUACAACCCGCCCUUCUGUGGGGGACAACAGUUGGAAACGACUCCAAAUCCCGCAUACUGAAGGUGGGGUUUGCGUCUGAUUAGCUAGUUGGCGGGGUAACGGCCCACCAAGGCGAUGAUAAGUAGCCGGUCUGAGAGGAUGAACGGCCACAUUGGGACUGGGACACGGCCCCGACUCCUACGGGAGGCAGCAGUGGGGAAUCUUCCGCAAUGGACGAAAGUCUGACGGAGCAACGCCGCGUGAGUGAUGACGGCCUUCGGGUUGUAAAGCUCUGUUAAUCGGGACGCGGUACCGGAAUAGAAAGCCACGGCUAACUACGUGCCAGCAGCCGCGGUAAUUC